rnacentral:hammerhead_ribozyme from 1 species
GUUCAGCUGAAGAGUUCCAACUAGAACGAGACGCACGUUCUGAAU